AGGACGAACGCUGGCGGCGUGCUUAACACAUGCAAGUCGAACGGUGAAGCACCUUCGGGUGUGGAUCAGUGGCGAACGGGUGAGUAACACGUGGGCAACCUGCCCCUGACUCCGGAAUAACCUCGGGAAACCGAGGCUAAUACCGGAUACGACCUCGAGCGGCAUCGCUUGAGGUGGAAAGUUUUUCGGUCAGGGAUGGGCCCGCGGCCUAUCAGCUUGUUGGUGGGGUAAUGGCCUACCAAGGCGACUACGGGUA
rnacentral:rRNA from 1 species